rnacentral:rRNA from 1 species
UACAGAGGUCUCAAGCGUUGUUCGGAAUUACUGGGCGUAAAGCGCGCGUAGGCGGCUUUGUAAGUUAGAGGUGAAAGCCCGGGGCUCAACCCCGGAAUUGCCUUUAAGACUGCAUCGCUUGAAUCCGGGAGAGGUGAGUGGAAUUCCGAGUGUAGAGGUGAAAUUCGUAGAUAUUCGGAAGAACACCAGUGGCGAAGGCGGCUCACUGGACCGGCAUUGACGCUGAGGUGCGAAAGCGUGGGGAGCAAACAGG